rnacentral:rRNA from 1 species
GACGAACAGUGCGGACGUUGUUCGGAAUCACUGGGCGUAAAGCGCACGUAGGCGGAUUUGUCAGUCAGGGGUGAAAUCCCGGGGCUCAACCUCGGAACUGCCUUUGAUACAGCAAGUCUUGAGUUCGAGAGAGGUGGGUGGAAUUCCUAGUGUAGAGGUGAAAUUCGUAGAUAUUAGGAAGAACACCGGUGGCGAAGGCGGCCCACUGGCUCGAUACUGACGCUGAGGUGCGAAAGCGUGGGGAGCAAACAGG